rnacentral:rRNA from 1 species
UGGGCGUAAGAGAAUGUAGGCGGGUAAUUAAGUCAGAAGUGAAAUCCAAUAGCUCAACUAUUGAACUGCUUUUGAAACUGAUAACCUAGAAUAUGGGAGAGGUAGAUGGAAUUUCUGGUGUAGGGGUAAAAUCCGUAGAUAUCAGAAGGAAUACCGAUUGCGAAGGCGAUCUACUGGAACAUUAUUGACGCUGAGAUUCGAAAGCGUGGGGAGCAAACAGGAUUAGAUACCCUGGUAGUCCACGCCCUAAACGAUGCACACUAGUUGUUGCAAGGCUAGACCUUGCAGUAAUGCAGUUAACACAUUAAGUGUGCCGCCUGGGGAGUACGGUCGCAAGAUUAAAACUCAAAGGAAUAGACGGGGACCCGCACAAGCGGUGGAGCAUGUGGUUUAAUUCGACGAUACGCGAAGAACCUUACCUGGACUUGACAUAGAAAGAAUAACGCAGAGAUGUGAUAGUGCUAGCUUGCUAGAACUUUCAUACAGGUGCUGCACGGCUGUCGUCAGCUCGUGUCGUGAGAUGUUGGGUUAAGUCCCGCAACGAGCGCAACCCUCGUGUUUAGUUGAUAACAGUUCGGCUGAUAACUCUAAACAGACUGCCUGGGUAACCAGGAGGAAGGUGAGGACGACGUCAAGUCAUCAUGGCCCUUAUGUCCAGGGCUACACACGUGCUACAAUGGGGUAUACAAAGAGCAGCGAUACUGUGAAGUGGAGCAAAUCUCAAAAAUAUCUCCCAGUUCGGAUAGUAGUCUGCAACUCGACUACUUGAAGUUGGAAUCGCUAGUAAUCGUAGAUCAGCAAUGCUACGGUGAAUACGUUCCCGGGUCUUGUACUCACCGCCCGUCACACCAUGGGAGUUGAACUCAUUCGAAGCGGGGAUGCUAAAGUAGCUACCCUCCACAGUGGAUUUAGCGACUGGGG